rnacentral:rRNA from 1 species
CAGCCGCCGCGGGAAUACGGAGGGUGCAAGCGUUAUCCGGAUUUAUUGGGUUUAAAGGGUCCGUAGGCGGACUUAUAAGUCAGUGGUGAAAGCCUGUCGCUUAACGAUAGAACUGCCAUUGAUACUGUAAGUCUUGAGUAUAUUUGAGGUAGCUGGAAUAAGUAGUGUAGCGGUGAAAUGCAUAGAUAUUACUUAGAACACCAAUUGCGAAGGCAGGUUACCAAGAUAUAACUGACGCUGAGGGACGAAAGCGUGGGUAGCGAACAGGAUUAGAUACCCCGGUAGUCCCUGUCUCUUAUAA